UACAGAGGAUGCAAGCGUUAUCCGGAAUUACUGGGCGUAAAGCGUGCGCAGGCGGUUUUGUAAGUCUGUCGUGAAAGCCCCGGGCUUAACCUGGGAAUUGCGAUGGAGACCGCAAGGCUUGAAUCUGUCAGAGGGGGGUAGAAUUCCACGUGUAGCAGUGAAAUGCGUAGAUAUGUGGAGGAAUACCGAUGGCGAAGGCAAUCCCCUGGGCCUGUACUGACGCUCAUGCACGAAAGCGUGGGGAGCAAACAGG
rnacentral:rRNA from 1 species